CUCAAAGCCCUAAGGCCUUGAUUCCUGAGCUCUGGGCUCCACUCAUACAGAGGUUUUAGGGCCUGAGGAGGAAUAAUCUGGGGAAUAAAGUAGCAUUUCCACCAAAUUAGAAGCUGAGAUUCCUGCCUGGUUAUUUCAGUCUUCUCAUGACAAUGUGAACACACAAAAAGCUGCAAGACAAGAACUCUGCAAGGGUUAAAGAAGACUUGCAGGAAGGAAAUGGAGGAUUCUGCACAUUAUCCUCCUCCAUCUGUCUCAUCCCUGAAAUCAAUGGAAUUGGGGGUGUGAGGCAUCUCCCCCACA
ensembl:lncRNA